UAGGGAAUAUUGCACAAUGGGCGCAAGCCUGAUGCAGCCAUGCCGCGUGUAUGAAGAAGGCCUUCGGGUUGUAAAGUACUUUCAGCGAGGAGGAAGGCGUUGUGGUUAAUAACCGCAACGAUUGACGUUACUCGCAGAAGAAGCACCGGCUAACUCCGUGCCAGCAGCCGCGGUAAUACGGAGGGUGCAAGCGUUAAUCGGAAUUACUGGGCGUAAAGCGCACGCAGGCGGUCUGUCAAGUCGGAUGUGAAAUCCCCGGGCUCAACCUGGGAACUGCAUCCGAAACUGGCAGGCUAGAGUCUUGUAGAGGGGGGUAGAAUUCCAGGUGUAGCGGUGAAAUGCGUAGAGAUCUGGAGGAAUACCGGUGGCGAAGGCGGCCCCCUGGACAAAGACUGACGCUCAGGUGCGAAAGCGUGGGGAGCAAACA
rnacentral:rRNA from 1 species